CUGAAGAAUAACAUUAUUGUUCUUACAAGGUUAGAGCAAAAAUUGAAACAGAACAGAAGUCCUGAUGACAAUAUUGUCUUAAUUGACGAGUUUGCAUUUCCUAUGGAGACUAGAGAAGAUGUGGCAAGGGUUGAAAACAUACUUAAAGAUAAGCAUAAUGAAAUUACUGGUCAAACCACCUUGCCACACUGGGAGGGUUUUCCUCCAAGGAAAUGAUGCAGGUAGAUCGAGAGCUACGGAGGCUGAAUAAGACACAUGCAUCAAAUUGUGGCUCAAAAAUGCGCAUGAUAGGGAUGGGGGCAGAAAAU